CCAGAUCAUUAUGUACAAGGAGUUAUGAUCAUUUAAAGUUGGAGUAAAAAUAUGCCAGGCCUCAGUACUUUUUCCUGCAUGUUUUACUGUUCACUACUAUUCACGGUUCGAUUGGAAUGUUCAUAACUCGUCGCUCGGGUGUCCGUUUUGGAUGAUCCACAUAUCGUUGGAAAUAUUAUUCGAUACUUUACGCAAUGAUGGGUCAUAAUCUAAG
rnacentral:lncRNA from 1 species